AACGUGCCCUUUUCUACGGAAUAGCCUCUGGAAACGGAGAGUAAUACCGUAUACGCCCUUUGGGGGAAAGAUUUAUCGGAGAAGGAUCGGCCCGCGUUAGAUUAGGUAGUUGGUGGGGUAAUGGCCUACCAAGCCUACGAUCUAUAGCUGGUUUUAGAGGAUGAUCAGCAACACUGGGACUGAGACACGGCCCAGACUCCUACGGGAGGCAGCAGUGGGGAAUCUUAGACAAUGGGGGCAACCCUGAUCUAGCCAUGCCGCGUGAGUGAUGAAGGCCUUAGGGUCGUAAAGCUCUUUCGCCUGUGAUGAUAAUGACAGUAGCAGGUAAAGAAACCCCGGCCAACUCCGUGCCAGCAGCCGCGGUAAUACGGAGGGGGUUAGCGU
rnacentral:rRNA from 1 species